rnacentral:misc_RNA from 1 species
AACGCACCUUGCACCCUUUGGUAUUCCGAAGGGUACACCCGUUUGAGUGUCAUUGUAAUCUCACACCUUUGAUCUUUUUCGAAGGACCGUGGACUUGGACGUUCUGCCGCGUCACUGCGGCUCGUCUCAAAUGCGUUAGUAUGACCGGCUUGCUUCAGUGUCAUCUGGUGUGAUAAGCAUCUUCACCGGAGCUCUGGGACCCUCUCUGAGGAACCCGCACUCGAGGCUCGCCCGAGGUCUGCUGCCAACCGUCUUUAGACUACUUUUGACAAUUUGACCUCAAAUCGGGUGGGACUACCCGCUGAACUUAA